UACGGGGGGGGCAAGCGUUGUUCGGAAUUACUGGGCGUAAAGGGCUCGUAGGUGGCCUACUAAGUCAGACGUGAAAUCCCUCGGCUUAACCGGGGAACUGCGUCUGAUACUGGAUGGCUCGAGUUUGGGAGAGGGAUGCGGAAUUCCUGGUGUAGCGGUGAAAUGCGCAGAUAUCAGGAGGAACACCGAUGGCGAAGGCAGGUCUCUGGGCCGAUACUGACGCUGAGGAGCGAAAGCGUGGGGAGCGAACAGG
rnacentral:rRNA from 1 species